UUAUGGCCACAUCAGGUUGAAACAGCAGCUCUUGUAUGAUCACAAAAGUUUAGAAAUGUUGAGCCUGGUCAGUACUUAGAUGGGUGACUGUGUGUGAAUACCAGGUGCUGUAAG